rnacentral:rRNA from 1 species
GAUGAACGCUGGCGGCGUGCUUAACACAUGCAAGUCGAACGAUGAAGCCCAGCUUGCUGGGUGGAUUAGUGGCGAACGGGUGAGUAACACGUGGGUAACCUGCCCUUGACUCUGGGAUAAGCCUGGGAAACUGGGUCUAAUACUGGAUAUGACUUCUCAUCGCAUGGUGGGGGGUGGAAAGAUUUAUUGGUCUUGGAUGGACUCGCGGCCUAUCAGCUUGUUGGUGAGGUAAUGGCUCACCAAGGCGACGACGGGUAGCCGGCCUGAGAGGGUGACCGGCCACACUGGGACUGAGACACGGCCCAGACUCCUACGGGAGGCAGCAGUGGGGAAUAUUGCACAAUGGGCGCAAGCCUGAUGCAGCGACGCCGCGUGAGGGAUGACGGCCUUCGGGUUGUAAACCUCUUUCAGUAGGGAAGAAGCGAGAGUGACGGUACCUGCAGAAGAAGCGCCGGCUAACUACGUG